rnacentral:rRNA from 1 species
CCCCCCCUCUGUGCCUGUGAGCAUCGCCUUUUGCAUCGAUGAAGCCCGCGGCAAAUAGCAAUAUGUAUUGAUUUUCGCUGCCCGCUCCAUCGAUGCCUUAGCUGUGUGCUCCUUGACCUGUGUUUGGGGGUAAGAAUGGUUUUGCCUUUUUCUAUCAAUUGAUCCCUGAGGACAAGUGU